rnacentral:rRNA from 1 species
CCCUUAGAUGUUCUGGGCCGCACGCGCGCUACACUGACGAUGGCAACGAGUUUUUCCUUCGCCGAAAGGCGUGGGUAAUCUUUUGAAACAUCGUCGUGCUGGGGAUAGAUCAUUGCAAUUUUUGAUCUUGAACGAGGAAUUCCUAGUAAGCGCGAGUCAUCAGCUCGCGUUGAUUACGUCCCUGCCCUUUGUACACACCGCCCGUCGCUACUACCGAUUGAAUGGUUUAGUGAGGACUCCUGAUUGGCGCCGCCGCCCCGGCAACGGAGCAGCGGACUGCCGAAAAGUUGUUCAAACUUGAUCAUUUAGAGGAAGUAAAAGUCGUAACA